GAUGAACGCUGGCGGCGUGCUUAACACAUGCAAGUCGAACGAUGAAGCCCAGCUUGCUGGGUGGAUUAGUGGCGAACGGGUGAGUAACACGUGAGUAACCUGCCCUUAACUCUGGGAUAAGCCUGGGAAACUGGGUCUAAUACCGGAUAGGAGCGUCCACCGCAUGGUGGGUGUUGGAAAGCUUUAUCGGUUUUGGAUGGACUCGCGGCCUAUCAGCUUGUUGGUGAGGUAAUGGCUCACCAAGGCGACGCCGGGUAGCCGGCCUGAGAGGGUGACCGGCGACAAUGGGACUGAGACACGGCCCAGACUCCUACGGGAGGCAGCAGUGGGGAAUAUUGCACAAUGGGCGCAAGCCUGAUGCAGCGACGCCGCGUGAGGGAUGACGGCCUUCGGGUUGUAAACCUCUUUCAGUAGGGAAGAAGCGAAAGUGACGGUACCUGCAGAAGAAGCACCGGCUAACUACGUG
rnacentral:rRNA from 1 species